GAUGAACGCUGGCGGCGUGCCUAAUACAUGCAAGUCGAGCGAACAGAUAAGGGGCUUGCUCCUUUGACGUAAGCGGCGGAGGGGGGAGUUACACGUGGAGAACCUACCUAUAAGACUGGGAUAACUUCCGGAAACCGGAGCUAAAACCGGAUAACAUAUUGAACCGCAUGGUUCAAGAGUGAAAGGCGGCUUUGCUGUCACUUAUACAUGGAUCCGCGCCGUAUUAGCUAGUUGGUAAGGUAACGGCUUACCAAGGCAACGAUACGUAGCCGACCUGAGAGGGUGAUCGGCCACACUGGAACUGAGACACGGUCCAGACUCCUACGGGAGGCAGCAGUAGGGAAUCUUCCGCAAUGGGCGAAAGCCUGACGGAGCAACGCCGCGUGAGUGAUGAAGGUCUUCGGAUCGUAAAACUCUGUUAGCAGGGAAGAACAAAUGUGUAAGUAACUGUGCACAUCUUGACGGUACCUGAUCAGAAAGCCACGGCUAACUCCGUG
rnacentral:rRNA from 1 species